rnacentral:rRNA from 1 species
ACUCAAAUGAAUUGACGGGGGCCCGCACAAGCGGCGGAGCAUGUGGCUUAAUUCGACGCAACGCGAAGAACCUUACCAAGGCUUGACAUACGCCGAAAACUCGCAGAGAUGCGGGGUCCGUAAGGGCGGCGUACAGGUGGUGCAUGGUUGUCGUCAGCUCGUGUCGUGAGAUGUUGGGUUAAGUCCCGCAACGAGCGCAACCCUCGUUCCAUGUUGCCAGCGGGUAAUGCCGGGGACUCAUGGGAGACUGCCGGGGUCAACUCGGAGGAAGGUGGGGAUGACGUCAAAUCAUCAUGCCCCUUAUGUCUUGGGCUGCACACAUGCUACAAUGGCCGGUACAAAGGGUUGCGAAGCCGUGAGGUGGAGCGAAUCCCAAAAAGCCGGUCUCAGUUCGGAUUGGGGUCUGCAACUCGACCCCAUGAAGUCGGAGUCGCUAGUAAUCGCAGAUCAGCAACGCUGCGGUGAAUACGUUCCCGGGCCUUGUACACACCGCCCGU